UCCGGUUUGGCACCGGCAGUCUUCCUAGAGUCCCCGCCAUUACGCGCUGGCAACUAAGAACAGGGGUUGCGCUCGAUGCGGGACUUAACCCAACAUCUCACGACACGAGCUGACGACAGCCAUGCAGCACCUUUCACUCUGCUUGGUUUUACCCAAGAGGCCCCGUCUCCGGGGUUGUCAGAGGCAUUCUAGCCCAGGUAAGGUUCUUCGCGUUGCGUCGAAUUAAACCACAUGCUCCACCGCUUGUGCGGGUCCCCGUCAAUUCCUUUGAGUUUAAGCCUUGCGGCCGUACUCCCCAGGCGGUCAACUUCACGCGUUAGCUUCGUUACCAAGGAAUUACUUCCCCGACAACCAGUUGACAUCGUUUAGGGCGUGGACUAC
rnacentral:misc_RNA from 1 species